rnacentral:rRNA from 1 species
CCUACGGGAGGCAGCAGUAGGGAAUAUUGCUCAAUGGGGGAAACCCUGAAGCAGCAACGCCGCGUGGAGGAUGAAGGUUUUCGGAUUGUAAACUCCUUUUGUUAGAGAAGAUAAUGACGGUAUCUAACGAAUAAGCACCGGCUAACUCCGUGCCAGCAGCCGCGGUAAUACGGAGGGUGCAAGCGUUACUCGGAAUCACUGGGCGUAAAGGGCGCGUAGGCGGGAUAGCAAGUCAGAUGUGAAAUCCUAUGGCUUAACCAUAGAACUGCAUUUGAAACUGUUAUUCUAGAGUAUGGGAGAGGGAGGUAGAAUUCUUGGUGUAGGGGUAAAAUCCGUAGAGAUCAAGAGGAAUACUCGUUGCGAAGGCGACCUGCUAGAACAUAACUGACGCUGAUGCGCGAAAGCGUGGGGAGCAAACAGGAUUAGAUACCCUUGUAGUC